UGCGUAGGCGGACUCAUAAGUCAGUGGUGAAAGCCUUCAGCUUAACUGAAGAACUGCCAUUGAAACUGUGAGUCUCGAGUUCGGUUGAGGUCAUUGGAAUGUAACAUGUAGCGGUGAAAUGCAUAGAUAUGUUACAGAACACCAAUUGCGAAGGCAGAUGACUAAACCGAAACUGACGCUGAGGCACGAAAGCGUGGGGAUCAAACA
rnacentral:rRNA from 1 species